UACAGAGGGUGCAAGCGUUAAUCGGAGUAACUGGGCGUAAAGGGCGCGUAGGCGGUGAUGUGAGUGUGAUGUGAAAGCCCCGGGCUUAACCUGGGAAGUGCAUCGCAAACGACAUGACUGGAGUAGAUGAGAGGGUGGCGGAAUUUCCGGUGUAGCGGUGAAAUGCGUAGAGAUCGGAAGGAACGUCGAUGGCGAAGGCAGCCACCUGGCACCAUACUGACGCUGAGGCGCGAAAGCGUGGGGAGCGAACAGG
rnacentral:rRNA from 1 species